AGUGGAUGGGGAGCAACCUAGCUGUGCGUGUGUAAAGGUAGUGCCAAGAAAAGCGAUGAUCAUGUUGAAAAUCAAUUCCCGGUACCCGAAACCGACACAGGUGGGCAAGUAGAGAAUACUAAGGGGCGCGAGGUAACUCUCUCCAAGGAACUCGGCAAAAUGACCCCGUAACUUAGGGAGAAGGGGUGCCACCGAGAGGUGGUCGCAGUGAAGAGGCCCAGGCGACUGUUUAGCAAAAACAUAGGUCUCUGCAAACUCGAAAGAGGAGGUAUAGGGGCUGACGCCUGCCCAGUGCCGGAAGGUUAAAGAAGUUGGUCAGUCUUAGGAUGAAGCUAGCGACUGAAGCCCCGGUGAACGGCGGCCGUAACUAUAACGGUCCUAAGGUAGCGAAAUUCCUUGUCGGGUAAGUUCCGACCCGCACGAAAGGCGUAACGAUCUGGGCGCUGUCUCGGAGAGAGGCUCGGCGAAAUAGGAUUGUCUGUGAAGAUACGGACUACCUGCAUUUGGACAGAAAGACCCUAUGAAGCUUUACUAUAGCUUGGAAUUGUGUUCGGGCUUCCUGUGCGCAGGAUAGGUGGGAGGCGUAGAAGGUAUUCUUGUGGGGAUACUGGAGCCAACGGUGAGAUACCACUCUCAGGAGGCUAGAAUUCUAACUUAAUUAAGGACAGUUUCAGGUGGGUAGUUUGACUGGGGCGGUCGCCUCCAAAAAGGUAACGGAGGCGUACAAAGGUUCCCUCAGACUGGUUGGAAAUCAGUCGAAGAGUGCAAAGGCAGAAGGGAGCUUGACUGCGAGAAGUACAGUUCGAGCAGGGUGGAAACACGGUCUUAGUGAUCCUACGGUGCUGUGUGGAAGGGCCGUCGCUCAACGGAUAAAAGUUACUCUAGGAUAACAGGCUGAUCUCCCCCAAGAGUUCACAUCGACGGGGAGGUUUGGCACCUCGAUGUCGGCUCAUCGCAACCUGGGGCGGAAGUACGUCCCAAGGGUUGGGCUGUUCGCCCAUUAAAGCGGUACGUGAGCUGGGUUCAGAACGUCGUGAGACAGUUCGGUCCAUAUCCGAUGUAGGCGUGAGAAUAUUGAGAGGAGCCUUCCUUAGUACGAGAGGACCGGGAAGGACGCACCGCUGGUGUACCUGUUAUGAUGCCAAUUGUAAACGCAGGGUAGCCAAGUGCGGAGAGGAUAACCGCUGAAAGCAUCUAAGUGGGAAGCCCACCUCAAGAUGAGUAUUCUGGUGUAAGGUCACGGGAAGACGACCCGUAAAUAGGCACGAGGUGGAAGUGCAGAGAUGUAUGAAGCCGAAGUGUACUAAUAGACCGUCGGCUUGACC
rnacentral:rRNA from 1 species